ensembl:lncRNA
ACAAAAUGUAAUGUAAGCAAAUGCGCUGACUCUGGUCUUGAUUUGCGCUCAAACCAACAGCUCGCCGAUACUUUGCGGACGACACCAUUCUGUAUACUUCUGGCCCCUCUUUGGACACUGUGUUAACUAACCUCCAGACGAGCAUCAAUGCCAUACAACUCUCCUUCCGUGGCCUCCAACUGCUCUUAAAUGCAAGUAAAACUAAAUGCAUGCUAUUCAAUCGGUCACUGCCCGCCCGUCCAGCAUCACUACUCUGGACGGCUCUGACUUAGAAUACGUGGACAACUACAAAUACCUAGGUGUCUGGUUAGACUGUAAUCUCUCCUUCCAGACUCACAUUAAGCAUCUCCAGUCCAAAAUUAAAUCUAGAAUCGGCUUCCUAUAUCGCAACAAAGCAUCCUUCACUCAUGCUGCCAAACAUACCCUUGUAAAACUGACCAUCCUACCGAUCCUCGACUUUGGCGAUGUCAUCUAUAAAAUAGCUUCCAACACUCUACUCAACAAAUUGGAUGCAGUCUAUCACAGUGCCAUCCGUUUUGCCACCAAAGCCCCAUACACUACCCACCACUGCGACCUGUACGCUCUCGUUGGUUGGCCCUCGCUUCAUACUCGUCACCAAACCUACUGGCUACAGGUUAUCUACAAGUCUCUGCUAGCUAAGGCCCCGCCUUGUAUCAGCUCACUGGUCACCAUAGCAGCACCCACUCAUAGCACGCGCUCCAGCAGGUAUAUUUCACUGGUCACCCCCAAAGCCAAUUCCUCCUUUGGUCGCUUUUCCUUCCAGUUCUCUGCUGCCAAUGACUGGAACGAACUGCAAAAAUCACUGAAGCUGGAGACUCAUAUCUCCCUCACUAGCUUUAAGCACCAGCUGUCAGAGCAGCUCACAGAUCACAGCACCUGUACAUAGCCCAUCUGUAAACAGCCCAUCCAACUACCUCAUCCCCAUACUGUAUUUAUUUAUUUAUCUUGCUCCUUUGCACCCUAGUAUCUCUACUUGCACAGUCAUCUUCUGCACAUCUACCACUCCAGUGUUUUAAUUGCUAAAUUGUAAUUACUUCGCCACCAUGGCCUAUUUAUUGCCUUAACUCCCUUAUCUUACCUCAUUUGCACUCACUGUAUAUAGACUUUUUUUCCUACUCUAUUAUUGACUGUAUGUUUUGUUUAUUCCCCUGUGUAACUCUGUGUUGUUGUACGUGUCAAAUUGCUAUGCUUUAUCUUGGCCAGGUCGCAGUUGCAAAUGAGAACUUGUUCUCAACUAGCCUACCUGGUUAAAUAAAGGUGAAAAAAUAAUAAUAAUAACAUUGUUACACAAUUUAAUGGCGCACAGCAAUGUGGUAUGGAGCUCAAGGUAAGGACCUCUGGCCUCUGCAUGCCUCUGGGGGCAUCACACCAUCCAACCAUUUUCGGAUCAAGCAUAAAUUGGCUCUUAGCUGUGGUAUAUUGGUCAUAUACCACAAACCCCCAAUACAUAAUAAACACAUUUUUAAAAAAGUAGAUAUUUACAUUAAUCUG